GUUACAGUUAUUAUAUCAUGAUUAGAGAAAAUCAGAAAUAGGAAUAAAUUGUCUUCCUCGGCGUUGGAGAAGAACUCGCUGCGCAGGUAAAAGGAUACCAUCCUUGUCUAGUUUUUUUCAAAUUUUCGUUGAAUAGGAUUCACUUGAAUUAGAUUGAAUUGUAUAUUAAUUGUUAUUAUAUUGGUAAUGUGGGGUUAGUAUAGUUGUCAGUAGGGUGUAAGUUUGGAUCUGCAAAUGUUUUUCUUUCUUAUUGAGAAAAUAUAGUAAGUGGGGACAAGCUUAUAAGCCAAUCAUUAGGCAAUCAUGACAAUAAUGACAAUUGAAAUGUAUUUAUUUUUUUGUUAGGCAUUAAACAAUACUUUGCAAGGGGUUACGUACAUACUAGUGCAGUUCGUAAUCAGUUGUGUGAGGUCGAUCCUUUUAAGUUAAUUAUUAAAUAUAGGCUUAAGUUUAAUAUAUGCAUAUAGGUAAUUAAUUAUUAGUGUAUAUUAUAUAAUUUAACAUUGAAUUCAAGGGUAUUGGGAGAUGUUAAAGUUAAGUUCUUGGCUGGAAAUUUAGCAAGUAUGAAAAAAUUUGGCAUACCAAUAUAUAUCAAGAUUGGGAGUUUGGUCGGAAAUAUGAGUGAGUUUAGCGUCUAUGAUAGACAUAUAAUAAUUUGAAUGUCUACAAAAAGUUGCUUACUUAUGAAUAUUGCAUAAUUGGUAGAUUGGGAACGUUCCGAAACUUAGCGAAAAGGGAAGGAACUAUCUUGAAGAUUCGUGGCACAAGGUUCGGCUCUUAAGGUAUGUUAAGACUUUUAGACUUGUUGAAGGACGUUUUCCUAAUUAAAGAUUAAAAAUGAAAAUAGACAAAGAGGUAAGGGAGAAAGAUGGGGGUCUCGUAUCAAUGGUGUGACGGGCAUUGGUACGAUUACCGGUGUUAUAAAACGGAUAAUUACUACUAUAGAAUGUGGAUUGUAAUUUGAGAAUGCCAAGCAUAUGGGCAUUAGGUGAUGUAUUAUUGACUUGAAAUCCUAGUGUGAUGGUGUUUUCUUUGUUACACCCGUAUAGUUGUGAUUAUUGAGGUGGUUAUGUAUUAUGUUCAUAUUGAUUGAUUGAGAUGCAUCAUCAUACCCUCUAUUGAAGUAAUAUUGUGCACAUGCAUAGACAUGAUACUGAGUAUAAGUUGGGCACGUGGAGAUCGUUCGUGCUGGGGAUAGUGAGAUGUUAAGAUUGUAAUUUGGGCACGUGGAGACCGUUCGUGCGAAAAUUGUUUGAUAUUAUGAUAGUGCGUUGAGAUCGUCCGCACAGACACGUGGAGAUCGUCCGUGUCGGUAUAUGGACCUCGCGAGUCCCCCAUGGAUUAUGAACUCUCGAUGUAUUUUUGAGGAGUAUCAUGUAUAUACGGUUGAGUGAGUACUGGGUAUUAUGAGACAUAUCAUUACAUGGUAUCAUAGUGCUUUGCAUUUCAUCCCAUCAUUCAUUCUUGAUAAUUAUAUGUUUCGUUUGGUGUUUGGAAAAUACUUAAUGUUGAUUUCUUUAUUGAUGAAACUUAAAUAGUAAUUGUAAUAUAUAAAUAUAUAUAUAUAUAUAUAUAUAUAUAUAUAUAUAUAUAUAUAUAUGUAUGUAUAUACUUGUAUAAUCUAAGAAUUUAUUUUCUUAUAUAACUCCCGUCACUACUUCUUCGUUGUUGGUCAAUGAGACAUACUGAGUAUACGUGGUUUCGUACUCAUACUACACUUGUUGCACUCUUUGUUGUGCAGAUUCGAUUCCGAGUAGGAGCACAUCUCGUGGAGCAAAUUGAGUCCGAGCUUGGAGUUGUGGUGAGCUGCUUGGCUGUUCCGUGGCCCACACAUCCCUCUAUAUUUUAUUUAUUCUGUUAUUAGUAUUCAGACAGGAUAUCCCUUAUGUUAGAGUUGUCAUUUGGUUUCAGACUUGCAUCGAAUUUUUGAAGCUCUUGUACUUAAGACACCAAUUCUUGGGGUGAUAUAUUUUAGCUUCCGCAUUUCGUACUUAUAAGGAACUCAAUGUUGGAGAUUCUUGCUAAGUGUUAGUCUUUUUACUCAUUUGUUGGUUUAGUUGGGUUAAUAUGUUGGGUUGGCUUACCUAUUGGUUGGGAACAUAGGUGCCAUCACGACUUGCAAAUUUGGGUCGUGACAAAAAAAAAGAUAUUGUAAGUAUAUAUGUAUUUCAAAACACCCAAAUCAGUAUUUUUUUAAUAGUUAAUUGACCUUUAAAAUUAUUGAUUCAUUAUACAAUUUAUGAUUAAUUUAUGUAUAUUAGCAAUCAUGAGUGAUUUAUAUAACAAUAUUUUUUUGAAUGUAUGUAUUUACAAGUAUUCAAAAUUGAUCACAUUAUAGUACGUUUCAAAAACAUAUUCUUCAUAAUAUUAAAAAAAAAAUUAUGAUAAAAGAAUUUAAGUUUGGAAAUUUAUCCUUAAUAAAUUAAUAUAUAUUUUUAAAAAAUAUAAUAUUGUCAUCAAUUUAGUUAAAUGAGUUCAAUGAAUUAAACUAGUCUAUUAUUAGAAAGAGAAAAUUGUAUGAAAUAGCAAACAUUUAAUAAUAUCAAAUGCUAUAGUCAUAAUUUUCUUUAUUUGUAAUUUGCAGCAAAUAUUUCACAUUUUUUGCCAUCUGGCGGUACCCAUUAUUUUCUUUUCAACUUAAAUAAAAAGAGAAUACAGAAGGUAUUUCUUAUACAAUUUAGAACAUUUUUCUCUUUCCCUAGUCACACCAUUUCUCUUUAAAUUUCUCACCCUCAUUAGGUUUUGAAUUUUAAUUUUUUGACAUUACCCUCCCAAUUGCAAAAUCAAAAUUUUUGGUAACCGCCCAAAUUGUGAGCAAAUCAACUUUAUAUUUGUUUUUUUUAUUGUGUACAAUGUUUCAAUUUUAUUCAUGAACUUUCAUUUUCUUUCACCGUGUAUUCUCAAUUUUAUAGGUAUUUCACUAAUUCUAUGGAUAAUCAAUCUUCAUCAACGAGAAUAAUCGGAGGUAUUCAAUUGUGUGGCAAAAAAAUCAUGAUCCACUAUCAUUUUCCUUGGGUCUAACUCGAGAAUUUGGAGACUUGCAAGUCAAUAGCAAAAUCUAAAGUAAAUGUCGAGUUCAUAUCUAAGUUUGAAAAUAACCCUAUUAGAAUGGAUGAAAUUAUCACAAAGUUAAAUACAAAAGACAAAUCUAGUUCAUCAAAGAAGGAGGAAAGCAAAAAUAACCGAUUCUACCAAUGAUCAGAUAAUAUUGUCCUGACUUAAUGGAACCGAAUGUAUCUGAAGAAGGUUAAAAUGUAUGUAUAAAUAGUAAUCAUGAGUUCUAUUUUAUGAUUGUAUAAUAAGCCCUUUUCUAUACAUGUAGUAAUACUUUCUCAGAUUUGUUAUGUUACUUGAUUGUUUUUAUAGAUUUGUAUAAUUUUUUAUUAUUUAUUUGUAUACACUAUUAUCCUGCAUAUGAAUUCCCAUUAUACAAUUAUAUGUUGUAUAAAUAUUAAUUGUAUAUAUAUGAAAUAUUUGUUUGUAUAUAAUUCAUUGUUUGUAUAUGUGUCAUAGUUUUACAUAACUAGAUCCGUC
rnacentral:lncRNA from 1 species